GACGAACGCUGGCGGCGUGCUUAACACAUGCAAGUCGAACGGAAAGGCCCUGCUUUUGUGGGGUGCUCGAGUGGCGAACGGGUGAGUAACACGUGAGUAACCUCCCCUUGACUUUGGGAUAACUUCAGGAAACUGGGGCUAAUACCGGAUAGGAGCUCCUGCUGCAUGGUGGGGGUUGGAAAGUUUCGGCGGUUGGGGAUGGACUCGCGGCUUAUCAGCUUGUUGGUGGGGUAGUGGCUUACCAAGGCUUUGACGGGUAGCCGGCCUGAGAGGGUGACCGGCCACAUUGGGACUGAGAUACGGCCCAGACUCCUACGGGAGGCAGCAGUGGGGAAUAUUGCACAAUGGGCGGAAGCCUGAUGCAGCAACGCCGCGUGCGGGAUGACGGCCUUCGGGAUGUAAACCGCUUUCGCCUGUGACGAAGCGUGAGUGACGGUAAUGGGUAAAGAAGCACCGGCUAACUACGUG
rnacentral:rRNA from 1 species